UAGGGAAUCUUCCGCAAUGGACGCAAGUCUGACGGAGCAACGCCGCGUGAGUGAAGAAGGAUUUCGGUUCGUAAAACUCUGUUGUUAGAGAAGAACAGCGCAUAGAGUAACUGUUAUGCGUGUGACGGUAUCUAACCAGAAAGCCACGGCUAACUACGUGCCAGCAGCCGCGGUAAUACGUAGGUGGCAAGCGUUGUCCGGAUUUAUUGGGCGUAAAGCGAGCGCAGGCGGUCAAUUAAGUCUGAUGUGAAAGCCCCCGGCUCAACCGGGGAGAGUCAUUGGAAACUGGUUGACUUGAGUGCAGAAGAGGAGAGUGGAAUUCCAUGUGUAGCGGUGAAAUGCGUAGAUAUAUGGGGGAACACCAGUGGCGAAGGCGACUCUCUGGUCUGUAACUGACGCUGAGGUUCGAAAGCGUGGGUAGCAAACAGG
rnacentral:rRNA from 1 species